GCUCCUGUAGUAUAGCUUGGACAGUAUACGACCCUCCGGAGGUUGUGACCCGCGUUCAAAUCGCGGCGGGAGCG
rnacentral:tRNA from 1 species